rnacentral:rRNA from 1 species
CAGCAGCCACGGUAAUACGUAGGUCCCGAGCGUUGUCCGGAUUUAUUGGGCGUAAAGCGAGCGCAGGCGGUUUGAUAAGUCUGAAGUUAAAGGCUGUGGCUCAACCAUAGUUCGCUUUGGAAACUGUCAAACUUGAGUGCAGAAGGGGAGAGUGGAAUUCCAUGUGUAGCGGUGAAAUGCGUAGAUAUAUGGAGGAACACCGGUGGCGAAAGCGGCUCUCUGGUCUGUAACUGACGCUGAGGCUCGAAAGCGUGGGGAGCGAACAGGAUUAGAUACCCCUGUAGUCCCUGUCUCUUAUACA